AGGCUUAACACAUGCAAGUUGAACGGGAACAUACGAUAGCUUGCUAUAGUAUGUGAGAGUGGCGCACGGGUGAGUAAUACAUGGGAACAUACCUUAAAGUGGGGGAUAACUUCUGGAAACGGAUGCUAAUACCGCAUAUACCCUGAGGGGGAAAGAUUUAUCGCUUUAAGAUUGGCCCAUGGCAGAUUAGGUAGUUGGUGGGGUAAAGGCCUACCAAGCCGACGAUCUGUAGCUGGUCUGAGAGGACGAUCAGUCACAUUGGGACUGAGACACGGCCCAGACUCCUACGGGAGGCAGCAGUGAGGAAUAUUGGGCAAUGGGGGCAACCCUGACCCAGCCAUGCCGCGUGAGUGAAGAAGGUUUUCGAAUUGUAAAGCUCUUUCGGAUGUGACGAUGAUGACGGUAGCAUCUAAAGAAGCCCCGGCAAACUUCGUGCCAGCAGCCGCGGUAAUACGAAGGGGGCGAGCGUUGUUCGGAAUUACUGGGCGUAAAGGGUGUGUAGGUGGACGUGUAAGAUAGCGGUGAAAUGCCGGAGCUCAACUUCGGAAUUGCCAUUAUAACUAUGCGUCUAGAAUUAUAGAGAGGAUAGCGGAAUACCCAGUGUAGAGGUGAAAUUCGUAGAUAUUGGGUAGAACACCAGUGGCGAAGGCGGCUAUCUGGCUAUAUAUUGACACUGAGGCACGAAAGCAUGGGGAUCAAACAGGAUUAGAUACCCUGGUAGUCCAUGCCGUAAACGAUGAAUGCUAGGUGUCGGAGGGGAACCUUCGGUGCCGGAGCAAACGCAAUAAGCACUCCACCUGGGGAGUACGAUCGCAAGAUUGAAACUCAAAGGAAUUGACGGGGGCCCGCACAAGCGGUGGAGCAUGUGGUUUAAUUCGAAGCAACGCGAAGAACCUUACCAAGGCUUGACAUCCCUCUGACGUAUGCAGAGAUGUGUAUUUUCUUCGGAACAGAGGAGACAGGUGGUGCAUGGUUGUCGUCAGCUCGUGUCGUGAGAUGUUGGGUUAAGUCCCGCAACGAGCGCAACCCUUAUCUUUAGUAGCCAGCAUUAAGGUGGGCACUCUAAAGAGACUGCCGUGGAUAACACGGAGGAAGGUGGGGAUGACGUCAAAUCAUCAUGCCCCUUAUGUCUUGGGCAACACACGUGCUACAAUGGACGGAACAAAGUGAGGCAAAGCCGCGAGGUGGAGCGAAGCACAAAAACCCGUUCUCAGUUCGGAUUGUAGUCUGCAACUCGACUACAUGAAGCUGGAAUCGCUAGUAAUCGCGAAUCAGAAUGUCGCGGUGAAUACGUUCCCGGGCCUUGUACACACCGCCCGUCACACCAUGGGAGUUGGAAGCACCCGAAGCCUGUGACCCAACCCGAAAGGGAGGGAGCAGUCGAAGGUGAAGCCAGUGACUGGGGUGAAGUAGU
rnacentral:rRNA from 1 species